UGCCAGGAAGCCUCCCUCC
rnacentral:piRNA from 1 species